rnacentral:lncRNA from 1 species
GGUGAUCAAAAGACAAAAAGAAAAGAGGGUGGAACUUUCAAAGGAUCAAAUAAGAAGAUUUCUUCUCAAACUUUCCAAUAAAAAUAUUUAAUAGAAUAAAUAUUUAAUUUACUAAUAUAAUAUCUUAUUUUUUAAUAAUUAUAUAAUUUAUAAAAAUGAUAUCUUAGAGAUAAUAUAUUUUCUAAAUAAAAGAGAUGGUAUUGGCGAAACCUUAUCCACCAUAUCUAUAAAUCAAUACUCACACACAAAAGUGUCUCUAGAUAAUAUUUUCAUAGUU